UACGUAGGGGGCGAGCGUUGUCUGGAGUUACUGGGCGUAAAGCGCACGCAGGCGGUCUGCUAAGUUUGGAGUGACAGUUGGUGGCUUAACUACCAAAGUGCUUCGAAAACUGACAGACUUGAGGGCUUCAGAGGGACACGGAAUUCCGGGUGGAGUGGUGAAAUGCGUAGAGAUCCGGAGGAACACCAAAGGCGAAGGCAGUGUCCUGGGGAGUACCUGACGCUCAGGUGCGAAAGCCAGGGGAGCGAACGGG
rnacentral:rRNA from 1 species